rnacentral:rRNA from 1 species
AUUGAACGCUAGCGGGAUGCUUUACACAUGCAAGUCGAACGAGGGGCGGACGGGUGAGUAAUAUAUCGGAACGUGCCAAGUAGCGGGGGAAAACUCCUCGAAACGGAGGCUAAUACAGAAUACUAUUGGCGCGUCCGUUAUCGGAUUAGCCAGUUGGUGGGGUAAAGGCUCACAAAGGCAACGAUCAGUAGCUGGUUUGAGCGGACGACCAGCAACACGGGGACUGAGACACGGCCCAGACGCCUACGGGAGGCAGCAGUGGGGAAUUUUUGACAAUGGGGGAAACCCUGAACCAGCCAUGCCGCGUGUAUGAGAAGGCCUUCGGGUUGUAAAGUACUUUUGGCAGAGAAGCGGUAUCUGCAGAAUAAGCACCGGCUAACUACGUGCCAGCAGCCGCGGUAAUUC